UGGGGAAUAUUGGACAAUGGGCGCAAGCCUGAUCCAGCCAUGCCGCGUGAGUGAAGAAGGCCCUAGGGUUGUAAAGCUCUUUCAGCGGGGAAGAUAAUGACGGUACCCGCAGAAGAAGCCCCGGCUAACUCCGUGCCAGCAGCCGCGGUAAUACGGAGGGGGCUAGCGUUGUUCGGAAUCACUGGGCGUAAAGCGCGCGUAGGCGGAUUGUUUAGUCGGGGGUGAAAGCCCGGGGCUCAACCCCGGAACUGCCUUCGAUACUGGCAAUCUUGAGUCCGGGAGAGGUGAGUGGAAUUCCUAGUGUAGAGGUGAAAUUCGUAGAUAUUAGGAGGAACACCAGUGGCGAAGGCGGCUCACUGGCCCGGUACUGACGCUGAGGUGCGAAAGCGUGGGGAGCAAACAGGAUUAGAUACCCCCGUAGUCC
rnacentral:rRNA from 1 species